rnacentral:rRNA from 13 species
CCUAAGGUAGCGAAAUUCCUUGUCUGGUAAGUUCAGACGUGCACGAAUGGCGUAACGAUUUGAGUACUGUCUCAGAGGGAGACUCGGUGAAAUAGAAAUGUCUGUGAAGAUGCGGACUACCUACAUCUGGACAAAAAGACCCUAUGAAGUUUUACUGUAACUUGAGAUUGGAUCUGGACUUUCGCUGCGCAGCUUAGGUGGGAGGCGAUGAGUGCCCUCUUCCGGGAAGGCAGGAGCCAUCAGUGAGAUACCACUCUCCGAAUGUUAGGAUUCUCAAGGUAACCUCAAGCAAGGUACCUGACAGUCUCAGGCGGGCAGUUUUUCUGGGGCGGAAGCCUCCUAAAAGGUAACGGAGGCGUACAAAGGUUCUCUCAAGUUGGUCGGAAAUCAGCUGUAGAGUAUAAAGGCAGAAGAGAGCUUAACUGUAAGACCUACAAGUCGAACAGGGACGAAAGUCGGUCUUAGUGACCCGACGAUGCUGUGUGGAAAGGUCGUCGAUUAACGGAUAAAAACUACUCUAGGGAUAACAGGCUAAUCUCCCCCAAGAGUUCACAUCGACGGGGAGGGUUGGCACCUCGAUGUCGGC